UUAAUAUAUACACUACUUAUGAGUGUCCGGAAAAUGAAAGUGAUUAUCUUGAGAAAAUAGCAUUUAUUGCGGCGGUUAUUUUUGAGCUGGACACCACCAGUGUUUAUGUGGUAGGUGACUGGAACGCAGACAUAUCUGAUAAUAGUUCUUUAUUUGGAAAUCAUUUGAGCCAAUUUUGUUGUGAUAAUAAUUUUGUGUUAUCAAGUCUGCAUUAUUUACCUGCACAUAGUUACACUUAUGUUAGUGAAGCAUGGCAUACCACGUCAUGGUUGGACCAUUGUAUAUGUACAGCAGAUGCUAAUGCCUCUAUACAGAAGAUGGAAAUUAUGUAUAAAUUUGCUACAACUGAUCAUAUUCCUAUUAAUUUGACAAUUGAUAUUGACAAUUUGCCUGGGCUACGUGAUUCAGGCAUGACUAACACUGUACAUAAAGGCAGGCUAGAUUGGACUAAGAUUGAAAAAGAUCGUAGGAAUAAUUAUUACUAUGAUACUGAUUUACUGCUUAAAGGAAUUUAUGUGCAUGAAGACGAUGCUCUUUUAUGCCGAGAUUCCAAUUGUGUGAACAAAGACCAUGCUAAUUAUUUAUGUAAUGCAUAUAAUGAAAUUGUGAAAUGCUUAUGUGAUGCUAGUGAAUCUCUAUAUCAAUGUAAAAACAAAGUUCAUAAUACUAGGCCUGGCUGGAAUGAGCAUGUGUCAGAGCUCCACUCUGCUGCUCGUGAGGCUCACCUACUCUGGGUUGAAGCUGGCAAAAACAGACAGGGACGGUUAUUUGAACUAAAGAAGAGAGCCAAUGCACGAUUCAAGUAUGCUCUCCGUUUUAUAAAGAAUAAUGAGAAUGUUAUGCGGGCGGACUCAGUUGCUCGUAAAUUGCAGGGUAAAAGUUAUUAUGAGUUUUGGAAAGAAUUUAAAUGUGUUAAUAAUA